GGGAACCUGCAUUUCCAAUACUCACUGCCCAGUACUUUGAGAAGCACCACACGCAUGCUCCUCCAACCUGUGUUCUUCGACCCAAGAACUAGUCUCAUCCCGUGCAUCAAUCAAGCAGUGGGUGCUGCCCCACAAGCUAUUAUCCUAAGGACCUUUACUUCAUAACUUCUGUCUAUAUGCUGUAGAACCAACACUCGGCUAUGCUCUGAGCUUGUUUGCAGCUUCUGAUAAAGACUGUCUGAAGAAAAGGGCAGAUUAAAAACUUCAGGACUUGGGGUGCUUGUGUUCUCAGGAGCAAGGUGUUGAAACUGCAAAGAGGAGGAGCUGGCUGUGUAUUUGUUCAGCCCACGUGAGCUGUCCUAUCUGCCAAAGGAAAACUGGACACUGGAUCUGGACGUUCUGGAGCCCACUCUGGGAGCAAAUUGCAUAACCACGUGCCUGUGUUUUACACAGGUGCUAACACGAUGAUUCGGACACUGAGCCUGAAGGUCAGAGUUCAAUCCCUGCGAGUCCACACGGUGGAAGAAGAGAAUCAACUCUCAAAAGUUGGCCUCAGUCCUGUGACUACCAUGCUGCACACGUUGCAACACAUGACCCUCAUCCCCUCCCAUGUAGAAAUAAAAGCAUAUUUGUUUAGUCAGGGUCCCUCUACCUAACCCUGACUCUCCUGGAACUCAUAUAGACCAGGCUGGCCUCGAACUCAAAGAGAUCUGCCCAAUUCAGCCUCCCCAGUGUUGGAACAAAAAGCAUGCAUCCCCACGCCCCAACCUAAAAGCAAUAAUUUUUUAAUUAAAAAUUAGU